UACGUAGGGGGCAAGCGUUGUCCGGAUUUAUUGGGCGGAAAGAGCUCGUAGGCGGUUCCGUAAGUCGUGAAGCCAAAUCUCUGGGCUCAACCCAGAAUCGCUUCCGAUACUGCGGUGACUGGAGUCCGGUAGGGGAGUGUGGAAUUCCUGGUGUAGCGGUGAAAUGCGCAGAUAUCAGGAGGAACACCAACAGCGAAGGCAGCACUCUGGGCCGGUACUGACGCUGAGGAGCGAAAGCAUGGGGAGCGAACAGG
rnacentral:rRNA from 1 species